rnacentral:lncRNA from 1 species
GGCGGUUUUUGGUUGCCUGUCGCGUGGGCCAACACUGCCUUUUCAUUGUUGCGCCUCACACACCAGACCGAGUGUCAUGAACGGCAACAGAAGCAGCCUCUACUGUUGCCAAAAGUGGGCGCGACCGGACCGACUGCACCAACCACCAACCCACGUCGACACAAUCCUACGCCCCCGGCACGGUCGUCCAUAGCCUUCCGACAUUAUAUGUAGACAAUGGGCGUUGCCCAAAAGGUGCGUGCGCCGCCGUAACCAACGGCAAGAGAGCGCACCAGCGCAAACCAAUGAAAAAAUAAAAAAUUUG